GGCUCCAUCGUCUAGUGGUCUAGGACACAGCGUUCUCAACGCUGGAACACCGGUUCGACUCCGGUUGGAGCUA
rnacentral:tRNA from 1 species